AGCAGUCGCCGCGGGAAUACGGAGGGGGCUAGCGUUGUUCGGAAUUACUGGGCGUAAAGCGCACGUAGGCGGCUUUGUAAGUUAGAGGUGAAAGCCCGGAGCUCAACUCCGGAAUUGCCUUUAAGACUGCAGAGCUAGCAGGUGAGAGAGGUGAGUGGAAUUCCGAGUGUAGAGGUGAAAUUCGUAGAUAUUCGGAAGAACACCAGUGGCGAAGGCGGCUCACUGGCUCAUACUGGACGCUGAGGUGCGAAAGCGUGGGGAGCAAACAGGAUUAGAUACCCGCGUAGUCCCUGUCUCUUAUAC
rnacentral:rRNA from 1 species